GGACAAGGCCAGGGGCAACGAGAGAGAGUUAAGCUGCUGCUAAUGGCCGGGAAACAGUCUUUUUGUGUGGACUUAUCUCAAGGAAGAUGGCCAUCUCAGGAGGUAUGCACAGGACUCUUGCUCAAGCACCCAGGAAUGUCACGUAGGCAGGAGAAAAUGGAGGAUAAAAGAGGGUCCAACAACCACGGCAAUGGUAGAGGCUUAUCUCUCACCACGACAGACUUGAGGGGUUCUCUGCCAUCUGAUCCUUCACCACAACACAGAGGCUGAUCUCUCAUGAUCUCUCACCACGACACGAGCUUCCUGCCUUCAGAUCCUUCUCUACGGACCGUUUGCUGACGGACUUCCCUGGGCCUGCUACCUGAGACCUGCUGCUUCCUCCCUGACCUGCACCCUCUCGUUGCCCAAGACCGGCCUCGCUGCUCCUGCCCUUCGGCCUCGGACCGUCGGAACGUCGUGCAACGGGACUGCUGCUGGAUCCUGGUGGUGACUAUCCCCUCUUUACGCAAUUCAUGCCUCUUUCUAUCUUUUCUAUCGCUCGCCUUCCCUUCCCCAUCACCCCAAUCCUUAAUAGUGUCCGUCUUCCCCUUUCCCCAUCUCCCUUAUUAACAUUUGUAAUAAACUGGUCGGAC
rnacentral:lncRNA from 1 species